rnacentral:rRNA from 1 species
GACGAACGCUGGCGGCGUGGAUUAGGCAUGCAAGUCGAACGGUAUCAUCCUUUCGGGGAUGAGAGAGUGGCGAACGGGUGAGUAACACGUAGGUGAUCUACCCUCAAGACGGGGACAACCCAGGGAAACUUGGGCUAAUACCGGAUGUGAGCUAUCGCGAGAUAGUUUGAAAGGUGGCUUCGGCUGCCGCUUGAGGAUGAGCCUGCGUCCUAUUAGCUAGUUGGUGAGGUAACGGCUCACCGAGGCAGUGAUAGGUAGGCGGCCUUAACGGGUGGUCGCCCACACUGGGAUUGAGAUACGGCCCAGACUCCUACGGGAGGCAGCAGUCGAGAAUAGUCUACAAUGGCCGAAAGGCUGAUAGUGCGACGCCGCGUGAACGAAGAAGCCCUUCGGGUGUAAAGUUCUUUUAUAUGUGAGCAGUGCUUUCUAUGUGAACAGCAUAGGUGAGAGAGAUUAAGUUACGACUAAUAUAGUAAAGUAAGAACGAACGGUACUAACCGUCCGUCCG